AUGGCAGAAAUAGGGAAUGGCAAAGCUGGGAAUGGCAGAGCCGGGAAUGGCAGAGCUGAAAAAUGGCAGAACCUGGGAAUGGCAGAACCUGGGAAUGGCAGAAAUUGGGAAUGGCAGAACCAGAAAUGCCAGAGCUGGAGAACGACAGGAAUGGGAAUGGCAAAGCCGGGAAUGGCAGAAUUAGGAAUGGCAGAAAUGGGGAAUGGCAGAACCAGGAAUACCAGAGCCUGGGAAUGGCAGAGUUGGGAAAUGGCAAAGCCUGGGAACGGCAGAACCAGGAAUGGCAGAAUUAGGAAUGGCAGAACCGGGAAUGGCAGAACCAGGAAUACCAGAGCCUGGGAAUGGCAGGGCCGGGAAGGAGCAGCAGCUCCCGAGCAGGGCGGGCGCUGGGGAAUGCCAGAGCCCGGCCUUAUCUUUUGUCUGGAACAAUGGAGGGCUCGGCCCCAUUGUUCUCCUCUCACGCCCAGCGGAAAGCGGGGUCCCCCGGGGCACGGCUGGCUCGGGAGCGUGCCCGGAGCCGCGGCAGGGACGGGCGGGGGUGGCACGGGUGGCACGGACCCCGCGCGGCUGCUCCAGCGGGGAGCCCCGUCCCGCUGGUUUUCCAUGCGGAUUUUAGGAGCAGGGAGGUCCCCCGGAGAGCCCAGCUGCAGGCUGGGCAGGGCAGAGCAGGAUUUGCUGCUUUUAGGGGCUCUUUUAGGGAUUUGGGUUCUCUGCGAUCCCGUUCUGGCUCCUUCCUGUUGUGUUUCCUCUGGUUUGUGGGUUCGUGCUGGGAAUCUGACUAGGAAAAACACGUUUGGAUGUGGGAUUUGUGUGUUUUCCCAAAAAAAGCUCAUCCUGGGAACUGGGCAAAGCUGGCACAGCCCAGGGAACAGACACAGGAGCCUGGGACUCCUCAGACUGCAAACACAGCCCCAAAUCCAUUUGUUUCCCCAGGAUGGGUACCUGGAGGCCAGAGCUGCCAAUUCCCACUGCUCAGGGAGCCCAGGGGACAUCGGGACAGGGCAGGGGGUGACACAGGUGCCACCAGCACCAUGA
rnacentral:lncRNA from 1 species